rnacentral:sRNA from 1 species
CGUUAACGUACAUUUUUCCAUUGAAAUUGACAAUUUAUUAAAUUUAACUUGUUGAAUUAUUUCAAUAGAACGAUGCCAUUGAGUCGAGCAGAAAUACAGAAGGGGUACAGAGAAAGGAAGAAGGCCAAGGAGGGUGAAAGUUACCUCCGAAAGGAGAGAACAAGGAGAAUGAAAUAUUAUGUUCCCUCAGCAGAGUUGUCAACCAAGGAAAGAAAACGAAGAAACAAACAGAAUGCAGAGCGAGUAAAGAGACAUCGUGAAAAAAGAAAAACAGAGGUUUUGCAAGCAGAAGAAGACAAUAUAGGAGAGACAAGUGGUUAUGAGAGUAAUUUGACGGCCACAGGAGAAGAGAGGCGAUUGAUUGUAAGAAUGAAUUUCAGCAGUUUAAAGAAAGGAUCAGCUAGAAAAAGGAUCUGUAGAGCGGUCUCAAAAGCACAUCGAGAAAUAAAUCACCUUAAGGCAAAAAAUAAUGAAAUGAAAAAAAAGAUAAGAAAGCUGCAAAAGAGAAAUGAGCGAUUGCAAAAACAGAAGCAAGGAGGUGUGUCACCUCAAACACCAAGAAGUAAAACAGACAGAGAUUUGAGAGAGGCAGCUUGGAAUGAGGUGAGUUGCCACUGUGACCAAUGUUUUUUGGGUGAUAAUCCAAACUUUGACCAUGGUUGGAAAGUACAAAGCUUGAAUAACCGAACCAAUAACCUUAAAAUAAACACAGGAGAGGAUGACAAAUUAGCGGAAGAAGCUGAUAAGGUAAUGGAACAACCACCAACUACAAAUGAACGCAAGAUUGAUCUUAUUGAAGGAGAAUAUGUUGCUGCAAAGUACGAUAGAACCUGGUAUAUAGCAAAGAUUCUACAAAUCGACGAUUCCGACGAAGUAGAGGUGACUUUCAUGGAGAGAAAAAAGCAACUUUUCCAGUGGCCAGCAAGAGAAGACAUCCUUUGGAUACCGGUUACAGAUGUUAUUUGUAAAGUCACAGAACCAGUGUACACAGGAAAAUCUAAAAGAAUGCUGAAACUUCUUCCUGAAGACAAGGAAAAAAUUCUGAAUUUGUUUCAAUGA